rnacentral:rRNA from 1 species
UACGAAGGGGGCUAGCGUUGUUCGGAAUUACUGGGCGUAAAGCGCACGUAGGCGGAUUGUUAAGUUAGGGGUGAAAUCCCAGGGCUCAACCCUGGAACUGCCUUUAAUACUGGCAAUCUCGAGUCCGAGAGAGGUGAGUGGAAUUCCGAGUGUAGAGGUGAAAUUCGUAGAUAUUCGCAAGAACACCAGUGGCGAAGGCGGCUCACUGGCCCGAUACUGACGCUGAUGCACGAAAGCGUGGGGAGCAAACAGG